GCGCCCUUAGCUCAGUUGGAUAGAGCAACGGCCUUCUAAGCCGUGUGUCGGGAGUUCGAAUCUCUCAGGGCGCACCA
rnacentral:tRNA from 1 species